UUUUCAUGGUCUUGGAACUAAAAGUUGACACAGAUGUAAAACACUCCAGUUCCAUCUGCCGUUGUCUACAUUGCUUUAACCCUGCUAAAUGUAACAUCAUGAGUUUUCAGAGAUCUUAUAACUUCUUGUGACAGAGAGGCAUCAUCAAGGUAUGUGAUUAAUCUGAUGUGUGAUUAUCAGGUGGAACAUCUAUACAGUACAAACCAGGAAUACAUUGUGUAAAUAUCAGACUAGACGUGAUUUGCUUGUUCAUAAUUGUUUUUAUAUGUGUGCGUGCAUAUCUAUUUAUCUAUCUAUAUAUACACAUGGCAAACUACACUGGCUGCAGAACGUGCCAGCAUUUUUUUGUCUCUCACAUCAAUGUUGGCUUUGUCAAGGCUGCGACAUGAGUGCUCCCCAUGUUCCUGACCCAGAUCAGGGGCCUGACCAAAGCGCAGAGCGCUGUUCUUAGGGGCAGCCUGUCCAGUUCCCUUCACAAGGUUGCAAACAGGGAACUGAGGGCAGCGUACUGCUUGCUCAGCACUACCAGUCUGUGGGGAUACGGCUGGAGCCCGGCACUGGGAGUUGGACGUCCCUGUCAGUUAUUCCCGUUCUGUGCAUCAAACGGAUUUAGCAUCA